UCGCCCAUUUCUUUGUCUCUUGUAGGAUUUUGCGGAGCCACUCGACAGAUGAGAAUCUCAUUUCGAGGCUCCUCAGAAGGCGAACUGCACCCCCUCCCUCAAGCCUCUUCUCCAGUCUCAUGGUUUUCAUGACCACUAGGGGAAGACGACGAAUUCCAAGGUGGAGAGGAAAGAGAAGAGAAGGAAAUAAUGAAAAUAGUAACACCUCCUUGCACUUUUAA
rnacentral:lncRNA from 1 species